CCCCCACCAUAAUCCGCAGAUGAUGAACUACUUCCUGGAGAAACUUCUGAUCACCUGGAAGGAGGUGGACCUGGAGCUCCGACCGCAUUCCACCGCCGAGUGCAACUUCUGCCGCCAGCCGCUGCACUUCGAGGUGAUGAGCGAGCGCGAGAAAUCCUACUUCUCCGGCAUGAGCAAGAUGGUGUCCGCCAGAUCCUGACCACGCCCCCCGCGCCACCCGGGGGCGUCAGAGUGUGGCGUCAUAAAUCUUUAUGUCACGCAGCACAUAUACCAGAAGUUAUUGCUGCCCCCAGUGUGAAUGUCGUGUGUGGAAAUGUCGGUCUGUCAAUAAAGUUGGUCUAUUCUAA